GACGGAGGAGGCAAGCGUUAUCCGGAAUUAUUGGGCGUAAAGCGUCCGCCGGUGGCGAUUCAAGUCUGCUGUCAAAGGUCGGGGCUUAACCCCGGGAAGGCAGUGGAAACUGAAUAGCUAGAGUGCGGUAGGGGCAGAGGGAAUUCCCGGUGUAGCAGUGAAAUGCGUAGAGAUCGGGAAGAUCACCAGUGGCGAAAGCGCUCUGCUGGGCCUGCACUGACACUGAGGGACGAAAGCUAGGGGAUCGAAAGGG
rnacentral:rRNA from 1 species